rnacentral:sRNA from 1 species
GCUGGGUGUGGUGGUGCAUACCUGUAAUCCAAGUUAUUUGGGAGGCUGAGGCAGGAGGAUCACAAGUUUGAGGCUAACAACUUAGAGAGACUCUGUCUCAA